GGGACCCCAGGUCAGGCGGGACCACGCGCUGAGUUUAAGCAU
rnacentral:rRNA from 1 species